UGAUUUCUUAUUAAAUCAGCAGAGACUCGCAGAGAAAGAGCUCAGCUCCACUGUUAGUCUGAGAGAAUCCUCCUCAGAUGAAGGCUGAACACCAGCCGGAUUAUUUUUAGUGGACAUCAGCAGCUCCACGUCCUGACAGGAGCUGCUGCUGAGUGUCUGGAUACACAACAGCACAACAAACCAACGUGUAGUAACAGGAAGAGGACAGAAAGUUUGUGAGUCUGGUGAGACGUCAGCAGGACAAAGUGUCAAACUCAGUCCAGAUUGAAUAACUGCCUGAACACAGGAGAACAAGAUACUGACUACAACUGAAUAUUAAGACUCACCUGAAGGACAUCACACAGGCUACUGCAGGUUCUACAGAAGCCGCUGCAGAGAAGAGCUGAGAUUGAAAACAGGUGAAGACUGAAGACAGACGAGCUGCACGGAGACGACUGAUGUUUGGAAUCAAGUCUGCAGCUGCUUCAGCAGAACCGAUCCGCCCAGCGGCAAACGACCAGGACGAGAGGAUGAGACCUGACAUUUACUGAGAGCAGCGAGGAGACGAGGAACAUCUGCAGGAUCCACACAUCGUAAAUAAACAUGCAGAACAGUCAGAGCGUUUCUUCUUCAGCACCGAGGAGCCCGACCCGUUCUACACAUCGGCCCGUGUGUGUGUGCUCAGAACCGAGCAGAGAGGUGACAGAAGUUUGCAGGAGUGUGAAAUAAAAACACCAGCAGGCCGAACACACAUUGUUAAUAUUUAAUGACUCAAUCUCCAAAACCAUUGCAGCAAUAAUCCAAAGGGUUCUGAGCCCUCCAGCUCAAAAGUCCAUGUACAAGAGAUCCGAUGUGAAAUGUAUCCGGGUCACGUCUCUCCUGUAAAGCAACAGUGACUCAGAACUGCACACGGCCGACAGAUGGAUCAAACAAUAACUGGAAGACCGACAGUAUAAAUUCUAUACAUGUUCUCAAAUGAAAUCGAACAUCUUACAUCCGGGUUUGGGUUGUAGCUCCUGUGGCCGCCCUUCAGAACUCAACAACGGGUCAGAUCGGGCCGCUGUGUCGCACCACAUGGAAUGAAUUAAUACUAGCGUGUGUGGAUGGAGUCUGUACGAGUUAAAUAAAAGAGACAGUGAGAGGUGUGCUGGGUCACACAGAGAUUAACAUAAGUCACUAAGUUCAUCAUACAAACAGACCUCAGACCUCCAGGCUCAUUAAUAUCAGGCCUGGAAGGAUGUGCAGUGUCUACAGGGACUACUUUCUCAGGAGGCUGGUCACAUUAGCCGACACCUGAAGAGAGGACUGAUGAAACCAUGUGCUGAUCCAAACAUUCAGGUGCGCUGUUGUUGUGUAACUGAGCUGAAGUGUUGGUUUGUGUUCACGCCUCAUUCUAUAUUUCAUGUUUCACCUGUUUAACUCUUGAUUUUUGAUCCUGUGGUUGUUUGUCUUUGCUCAUUACGAACACCGAGGUCAGAUUCUUCCUGCACAAUUCACUUCUUUUGUCUUGUUCUCUGUGAAGAAAGAACAGACAUGAUGAUAGUUUUGCUGAUGCUACACAGUGAGUAAUCAGAGGAGCAGUGAGUGUUGAACUAAAUAAACUCAACAAACAAAAACCGAACCCUGUUUUUGAUAACCAGCCGUUAUAUAAGAGUGAUAAUGAAGUCAAAGGACGCCUGCGGGAGAAAACACUCGGCUCUGUGCUGUGAAUCCACCUCCAUCUUUUUACUGAGGCUUCCUUUUGUGCAUAAAGUCCAGAACAUAACCCUGAAAUGAUCAGAGUGAUCUUUAUUAUCACUGAGGAUACUUCAGGAGUGCUCGAGCCUGAUGGUGAUGAGAGUCAGACGGACAGAGCUGAGUGCUUCACAGGCUGCUUUAUAGACGAAAAAGGCAGAAAAUGAUGGUUGUUUUUCAGUAUGAUCCGCGACUCUACGUGAGAUUUGGAACAGAAAAGAGUAUUUUGUUGUGUUGUGGUGGAAGAGAGACUUCAGAGACAAGGUUCAGGACUUUCUGGAGCUCAUGGAUUCAGGCGACAAACGAUUAAAAAGAUUAAAAAGGACUGAAGAGUCAAACAACACAGAGACUCACAUCCUCUGAAAUAAGUCUCGUUGUGUAUUCCUUGAAACGUUAACAGACGUGGACAUGUUCACUUCCUGAUCAGGUCUCAUCAGUGUACAAAGCAUCACUGGGAUGUGACUUAUGAUGCUGUGGAGUAUUUGAGUUAUAUUCUCUAUAUUAGAGACACAAAUGGACGUCGGCCCGUCUCCUCGGUACCGGUGCUGAUACCUGACACUGAUAAAACAAACUACAGUACGUAACCAGUAAAUACAACCAACCAGAGUUUAUAAUCUGCUUCCUGUAUACACUGACUCACAUUCCCAGAUCACCUGAACGGUCAUGUGAUCUGAGUCUUCAGGUGUGUGGACGGAGGAUAUUUCUACUGGUGUGUGUUUGGACCGGGCCUCAGAGAUGUGAACCUCUCUGUGACUGAAGUUUUCCCCUCGCUGGAUUCAGUCCUUUAUUUAAGAGGAUGUGAGUUAUCUGACUCGAUGACGACACGCCUGACCUCUAAACGUUAGUCCUUCAGUAAAGUUUGAGCAGAAAUGUUUGUGUGUAGCUGCUGGAGUUAAACUUCAGAGUUCAGAACAGACUCAGUGGAGAUGAUGCUGCGGUUUAGAACAAUCCUCUCUUCAGGUAUCAAUCGAGGUGACAAACGAGCCGAGCUAGUAACAGAAAGAGUCGGAGUCUCACUGGCCAGGACAGCUCAGCCACGGAGGAUUAUUACAAAGCUGGGGAGCAAAGUAAAGGUAAUAAAUAAAACAAAGAAAGCGACUGAGACCCAGUUCUUCACUUCUUCAUGUCCGUCAGCCGGAUCAAAGUUCUGAAUUGUCGCAGAGUUCUCGGCAACUUGAAGAUUCAAACUUUCUAACUAGAGUAAAGCUUCAGAAGUUGCCGCCUGUUUGUUCUCUGUACCGAUAAUAUCUCUUCACGUCCGUGUUUCCUGUUUACAUCUUAUAGUACUUUAAGCGGUCUUCAUGAUUGGCUAAUAGGUGCUUUCUGCAACAAACACAUAAAUUCACUGGAGAUAGAGAUUCACUGUUUUGGUUUUAAC